rnacentral:tRNA from 1 species
GCCCCCGUAGCUCAGAUGGAUAGAGCAAGAGCCUUCUAAUCUCUAGGUCACGCGUUCGAAUCGCGUCGGGGGCACUA